GAACGUACCCACUGUUCUCUCUGCUCCCCGGCUAUAGAGGACACCCGACCUUCUCCACCAUGGUUUCAAAACUCUGCAGCCAAAUACUGGCCAUGCCCCGCUGUCAGCUGUCACACACUAUUCUCACUGAGAAAAACUGGUUUCACUAUGCAGCUUGUAUCUGGGAUGGUGUGAAAAAGUCCUCUGCCCUCUCUGAAUACAGUCGUCUGCUCUGCUGACACGUGUUUAACUGCUCUUAUGUACAGUUUUAUUUCACUGAUCAGAUCACACAAAGAUGAAAGAAGUGCAGCUGAAUGGGAUGUU